AAAAAAAAAAGAUUCUGUCCACUAGGGUGCAACUUGUAUUUUAUUAUUAGCAGGACAGGAACUAGUGCAAGAACUCACUGCUCCAAGGGAGGUCCUACCUCAGUGACAGCAAACCCAGCAGAUGAAAGCCACUGCUAUUUGACACUAGGAUUAUUGGCUGGGACACGAUUCGCACCCUUGGAUUUAGGCCCUCUGAGUCCUCGGCUUUCUGCCCACGGAAGGAUGGCUUUGAAGGGAAUAGUUCUGAGACACCACAAAAAUCCACAAAACUUAAGAUCAUCUGCUUUACCAAUAUCCAGUAUGCUGCUGUUGCACUCACCCUAAAGACCAUAGUGGUGCAAGAUAAAUGUGUGCAGGAUGUCUUAAAAGCUGCUGAACCAUCUCUCUUGUGGCUGAAGUCAUAACACAUUUGACAAACACUGAAAAUCAGGCCUUUUGCUUUAUUUUUUUCAAAGAACUGCUGCUUGUUAAUUUCUAUGGUAUAAAUUUCUCCACUGUGGUCAAUUUCACCCUACCCAUGGGAUGUGAAUAUGACCAGCUCAGAGCAUCUGCUGUCUGGCUCAGGAACACCACAAGCCUGUCUCCUGCACUUACCACAGUCUCCUUCCCUCCCUCACCUCAGAGCCAUGUUCCUGCAAAAACACCUGCCCACCUUAUGCAGGGGCAGGUCCCAGGAGACAGAGGCCCCUCCACAUUGCUGGGGACAUCC
rnacentral:lncRNA from 1 species